GGGGGCGACCGGUUUUGACAGCUUGUAGAGUUUGAUUGUAAGCACGUCGAGCAUUGUGUGGUGGCUCGUAAAUAUCAACACUCAAACUACAAAUGGCAAUAAUAGCUAUGCACUCGCUGCUUAAUUUUCGAGGAAAAUUAGCUUAAUCGACGAGCCCAAGGAGGCUUGACGACGAGUAUCCCGAACGGUGGCUGUGCCCUUUAGUCGCUGUUCAUACGGGGUAUCAUCUUUUAGGGGAUAGCAGGUGUGGAGCUCCGACGCAUCUGUGAAAAUUUAGGAGCUGGGGCUUCGGUUAGGCUGUCUGUGGCCGUCCGCGGCAGAAGGAUUAAACGCAGAAUAAACGUGUAGAAAGCUUUUGGGUUCCGAGUUUGGACGCGGGUUCGACUCCCGCCGCCUCCACUC
rnacentral:tmRNA from 1 species